rnacentral:rRNA from 1 species
AACGAACGCUGGCGGCAGGCUUAACACAUGCAAGUCGAACGCCCCGCAAGGGGAGUGGCAGACGGGUGAGUAACGCGUGGGAAUCUACCCAGAUCUACGGAACAACAGUUGGAAACGACUGCUAAUACCGUAUACGCCCUACGGGGGAAAGAUUUAUCGGAUUUGGAUGAGCCCGCGUUGGAUUAGCUAGUUGGUGGGGUAAUGGCCUACCAAGGCGACGAUCCAUAGCUGGCCUGAGAGGAUGAUCAGCCACACUGGGACUGAGACACGGCCCAGACUCCUACGGGAGGCAGCAGUGGGGAAUAUUGGACAAUGGGCGCAAGCCUGAUCCAGCCAUGCCGCGUGAGUGAUGAAGGCCUUAGGGUUGUAAAGCUCUUUCACCGAUGAGGAUAAUGACGGUAGUCGGAGAAGAAGCCCCGGCUAACUUCGUGCCAGCCGCCGCGGUAAUAC